UACGUAGGGAGCAAGCGUUGUCCGGAAUCAUUGGGCGUAAAGCGCGCGUAGGUGGCUUCGUAAGUCCGUUGUGAAAGUCAAAGGCUCAACCUUUGAAAGCCGAUGGAUACUGUGGAGCUAGAGUACGGAAGAGGCGAGUGGAAUUCCUGGUGUAGCGGUGGAAUGCGCAGAUAUCAGGAGGAACACCAAUAGCGAAGGCAGCUCGCUGGGACGUGACUGACGCUGAGACGCGAAAGCGUGGGGAGCAAACAGG
rnacentral:rRNA from 1 species